UCCAAAGGUCCUAACGAUGAAGCCCUUCGGGGUGGAUUACUGGCGAACGGGUGAGUAACACGUGGGCAAUCUGCCCUGCACUCUGGGACAAGCCCUGGAAACGGGGUCUAAUACCGGAUAUGACCGUCUUGGGCAUCCUUGAUGGUGUAAAGCUCCGGCGGUGCAGGAUGAGCCCGCGGCCUAUCAGCUUGUUGGUGAGGUAAUGGCUCACCAAGGCGACGACGGGUAGCCGGCCUGAGAGGGCGACCGGCCACACUGGGACUGAGACACGGCCCAGACUCCUACGGGAGGCAGCAGUGGGGAAUAUUGCACAAUGGGCGAAAGCCUGAUGCAGCGACGCCGCGUGAGGGAUGACGGCCUUCGGGUUGUAAACCUCUUUCAGCAGGGAAGAAGCGAGAGUGACGGUACCUGCAGAAGAAGCGCCGGCUAACUACGUGCCAGCAGCCGCGGUAAUACGUAGGGCGCAAGCGUUGUCCGGAAUUAUUGGGCGUAAAGAGCUCGUAGGCGGCUUGUCACGUCGGUUGUGAAAGCCCGGGGCUUAACCCCGGGUCUGCAGUCGAUACGGGCAGGCUAGAGUUCGGUAGGGGAGAUCGGAAUUCCUGGUGUAGCGGUGAAAUGCGCAGAUAUCAGGAGGAACACCGGUGGCGAAGCGGAUCUCUGGGCCGAUACUGACGCUAGGAGCGAAAGCGUGGGGAGCGAACAGGAUUAGAUACCCUGGUAGUCCACGCCGUAAACGGUGGGCACUAGGUGUGGGCAACAUUCCACGUUGUCCGUGCCGCAGCUAACGCAUUAAGUGCCCC
rnacentral:rRNA from 1 species